GAACAAUAACAUUUUAUGACUUGUGAAAAUAACAUGAAGUUCAAAUUCUAGUGUCCAUAACUGGCGUUUUGUUGGAAACAGCCACGUGCGGCUGCUCCUCCGCUGCAGGGAACGCCCGGCUCUGCCUUCCGCACGGGGGAGGGGCUUUCGAAUUCCCUUUCCCGCCCCGGGGGCCCGACGAGGCCCAUUCCUCAGCAGCAACAGCUGGUUAGCAGGUUCCUUUGCAACAACAGCUGGUUAGCGGGUCCCUCCACAGCAUCAGCUGGUUAGCGGGUUCAUCAGCAACAAUAGCUGGUUAGUGGGUUCAUCUGCAGCAUCAGCUGGUUAGCGGGUCCCUCCACAGCAUCAGCUGGUUAGCGGGUUCAUCAGCAACAAUAGCUGGUUAGUGGGUUCAUCUGCAGCAUCAGCUGGUUAGCGGGUCCCUCCACAGCAUCAGCUGGUUAGCGGGUUCCUCUGCAGCGACAGCUGGUUAGCGAGUUCUUCCGCAGCAUCAGCUGGUUAGCGGGUGCCCUCGGUGCUCCAGGCCUCGGGGGGUCAGGAGCAAGGGACACACCAUUUCUCACCGAGCGGCCGACAGCCAGCUGGCCUUUAUCAAGGGCAGUGUGGGAGAUGAUGGCCUCGCGACCGCCCUGGAUUGCUGGGUGCCGGCCCCGUUCCGGAGCAUCGAGAGCCGGCUCUCUGUAAACUCGGGGCUGCAUGCCGAGCGCUCACUCCUCUCCAAGCACCGUUCACCAGCGCUCACCUCUCACAUGUGUCAUCUCCGGGAAUGCUGCUCCUGGGAGAGGGAGCCGCUAUCAUUCCUGUUUUACAGAUGAGAUGGGCCCAGAGAGGUUAAGCAACUGGUUCAAGUUCACACAGCUAGUGAGGGGUGGGGGUGUUGACCUGCUGGUUCUGAACUGUGUUCCCUUAACCUUUGUGCUAUGCUGCUUCGGGUUGUAUGCGUAAAUGUAAGGGCUGUGGGGACCCAGAGGGAUCUCUAACAAGGCUGGGGUGUUUGGGGGCAGGCAGCAGUGAGGCCCCUGUGAGGGGUGAGCCCUGAGCUGAGCCAGGAGGAUGGAGGCGGAGGAAGGGGAGACCGCGCAGAUGCUGUGGAACAAAAUGGAGCUGCAUCCGACCACAGCAGUCUUGCUUGCUCCCUCUGGGCUUUGCUUGAGUCCUUGUCCUGCACCUGUACGAAGAGACACACCACCUUGCGAGUAAAAUACUUUGGGGAGGGAGGUGCGGGGACACUCGGCUUUUAAGGACACGUAGAGCUUCCCUGAUUCCUCACACGCAGGGCCGGUGACGGAGCCCAAACACCAGACUGAGCUGCGCAGAGACCGUUUGACAAAGAGGCCACAGGCAGGCCAGUUCCUGUGGGGCCGAGGGCACCAACUUAGGGGGGCCGGAGGGACUGGAUUCCAGCCCUGGGACCCUGACCAAGGCACCUCACCUCUGUUUGCUCAUCUGUAAAGUGGGAUGUCUUGGCUCUGCCCACAGGAACAAAUGCAAUAAAUGUCUACAAAUGUAUUUGUGAAACAGUUUGAAUAAGAAAGGAGAAACCGGUGCGCUGGAAAGGUUGUUCCAGGAUCAUGGGGUGGCUUUUGGGGACGAGAACUGAAUGAUGAGGAGAAGGCGGGCUCUAAGCUUCAGGAAGUUCUUGACAUAAAGCUGAAACCCACUUUCCCACCAUGGGCACCCACUGGCCCUAUUCCUGCCUUCGAGGCCCACAGAGGACCGUCCCCUGUUCCACAUGUCCACCCUGCAGCCCCCUCCCACUUCUAACAGGCUGAGAUUUGAGCCUAGCUCUGGCUUCGAUGCUCCAGUCCCCUCCAGAGCUCAGAAAGCAGGCCUCAUAGGUCAGGCAUUUUAUACUUGAUCUGUGGCUGUGGCUGGGAUCACAAUCAUCCAGGGUGCCCCCCAGCCCCACUCCUCCCUGUGUGAGAACAUCUGGCCUCCAGAGGCGCUGCAGCGAGGCACUGAGCAGGCCCACCCUCCGCCACAGCUGAUUGGCUCAGGGCUGUGGAUCCAGCCCACACUGGGCCAAUCGGGUUU
rnacentral:lncRNA from 1 species